CAUUACCAAGUUAAAAGCACACCAUAAGACUUGGUAUUUCCACUCCAAAGAGUGUACUCCCUAAAAUAAAAACAUAUGCCCACACCAAGACUUAUACUCAAAUGUUCACAGCAGCUUCAUUCAUAAGUCCCAAACUGGAAACAAUUCAAAUGUCCACCAACUGCUGAAUGUAUAAACAUACAUCCAAACAAUGGUAGAGACAUAGAAUACUACCCAGCAAACAAACAAAAAAAAGAGCAUGAACUAGUGAUACAUGCAGUAGUAUGAAUGAAUCUCAAAAGCAUCACACUGAAUAAACGAAGCCAGACACAACAGGUUAUAUAUUGUAUAACUCUAUUUACAGGAAAUUCUUUUUUUUUUUUUUUUAAGAGAUGGGGGUCUUACUAUGUUGCCCAGGCUGUCUCAAACUCCUGCGCUCGAGCGAUCCUCCUGCCUCAGUCUCCCAAAGCACUGGGAUUACAGGCAUGAGCUAUUGUGCCACUGUGCCUCGGAAAUUCUUGAUACGGCAAAACUAAGGUGACAGAAAGCAGAUCCAGGGUUGCCUAGGGCUGAGGUAGACAAGGCACACAUAAAGGGGCAUAAAGGAAAUCUGGCGUGAUAAUAAUAGUCUAUGACUUGAUUGUGGUGGUGACUAUAAGACUCUAUACAUUUGGCAGGGCGCGGUGGCUCACGCCUGUAAUCCCAGCACUUUGGGAGGCCGAGGUGGGCAGAUCACUUGAGGUCAGGAGUUCAAGACCAGCCUGGCCAACAUGGUGAAACUCCAUCUCUAUUAAAAUCUCUACAAAAUUAGCUGGGCGUGGUGGCGGGCGUCUAUGAUGCCAGCUAUUCGGGAGGCUGAGGCAGGAGAAUCGCUUGAACCCGUGAAGCAGAGGUUGCAGUAAGCCCAGAUCAUGCCACUGGACUCCAGCAUGGGCAACAGAGUGAGACCCUGUCUUUCUCACACACCCACACACACACACACACUAGCCAGGUGUGGUGGUGUAUGCCUGCAGUCCCAGCUAAUCCUGAGGCUUGAGGCAGAAGAACUGGUUGAACCCAGAAGGCAGACGCUGCAGUGAGCUGAGAUGGCACCACUGCACUCCAGCCUCGGCAACAAAGCGAAAUUCUAUUUUAAAAAAAAAAGACUACAUUUGUCAAAAUUCACUGAAUUCUGUGUCAACUAUUUCAAAGGCACUGAGAUUUUACCUUACUUUCAAGCUAACAAGUCAGCCUACCACAGUGUCAUGGAUACUGGCAAAAGGCAUGACAUUUUUGAGUCAGAGACAAAGCACUGUAUUACUCAUAACAGUAGUCAGAGUAUCAGCAUUUUCUUGUGCCAGCUGCUUGAGUCCCAACUGCCACAGGGCAUUGUGAAGUCAGAUGACACCUGAACAGGCUGCUUCACAGGAAAGAAAGACAGAUCUUAAGUAACCCUAAACUUGAAAAAUAUGCAGGAAGCAUGUCUGCCUUUUACUCUAGAGGGAGACAUUAUCUGUGUCUUUGAAGACUGUAAGUAAACCUGUCCUUUGCUCCACGGCUCUGAGAGUCUACCUUCCAACAUUCUUUAAAAGGUAAGUUGGCCGGGCACGGUGGCUCACACCUAUAAUCCCAGCACUUUGGGAGGCUGAGGCGGGUGGAUCAUGAGGUCAGGAGUUCAAGACCAGCCUGACCAACAUGGUGAAACCCCGUCCCUAAUAAAAAUACAAAAAUUAGCCAGGCGUGGUGGCAGCCGCCUGUAAUCCCAGCUACUCCCAGCUACUCAGGAGGCUGAGGCAGAGAACUGCUUGAACUUGGAAGGAGGAGGCUGCAGUGAGCCGAGGUCAUACCACUGCACUCCAGCCUAGGUGACAGAGCGAGACUCCGUCUCAAAACAAAGUUUAGAAAAAAGGCAGCCAUCAGGGUUUUUGCUUAUACGAAAUGCAGAAAUGUUAGACUCAUGGGUUUCCUAUCAAGUUGUAACUAAAAAAUGGUGAAUUUUAUUGUUUAUAAAUUAGACCUUAAAAACAAACAAAAUCUGCCCAGAUAAGGUAUAGCCAAAAUAAACGAGUGCUUAAUACCUCCAAAGACAUGUACAAGAAUGUUUACAGAAGUUUUAUUCAAAAUAGAUGAAAAUUAAAAUCAACCAAAUAUCUAUCAACACUAGGAUAAAUUAUGGUAUAUUCAAGUAAUUGAAUCACAGCAAUGAAAAAGAAUAACAGAUACAUGCAUCAUGGAUGAAUCUCACAUAUAAAACAGAAUGAAAGAAAUCAGACAGGCUGGGUGCAGUGGCCCACACCUGUCAUAUCAGCACUUUGGGAGGCUGAGGGGGAAGGAUUGCUUGAGGCCAGGAGUUAACAGGCCAGCCUGCACAAAAUAGUGAGACCCUGACUCUACAAAAACAUUUUAAAAGAGAAAAAAGGCAAGAAAGUACGCUCUGCAUGAUUUAUUUUACAGAAGUUCAAAAAGAGGCAAAAGUCUACCAUGUUUGGUGACAGAGGUCAGAGCAGUUGUUUUUUGUAAGGAAGGGUAUAAAAGGGGACAUUCUGGGUGCUGAGCAUGUUCUGUAUCUUGAUCUGGACAGUGAUAAACUCACUGAGCUGUACACUUAUGAGUUCUGUUUUGCAGUAUGUAAAAAAAGGUACACAAACCAAAAAUUAUCCCAAUACCAUUCUUACAUAUUAGUGUUGGCAAAAAUAUAAAAACCCAAAAAGGUAUCAACAGGGUGUUGUAAGACUAAGCAACGAAAGUAUCAUUACACACUAAAGAUUAUAGUGUAAAUUGGCAUAAGCUUCCCAAUACAUUGAACACUUUAAAAACGGUCAGUUUUGUUGUUUGUAAAUUAGACCUCACUUAAAAACAAAGAAAAAAGCUCUAUCCAAACAAGGCAGAGAGCCAGUUUGGCAAUAUCAAUCAAAAUUAAAACACACACAUUUGAUUCUAAUGAUUCUACUUUAUUUUAUCCUACAGAUAUGAAUAAAACAACACAUGUACAAAGUUAUUCACUGCAUUGUUUUUAAUAGUAAAAGGCUGAAACAACCUGAUUAUGAUGGGACACUAGUUAAAUGAUGGUAUACCAAAACCAUCUAAAUGUAAAUACUUGUAGCCAUUUAAAAAAAAAUGAGGAAGCUCUAUAUGUACAGAAACAUAAAGUUAUCUAAAAUACAUUGUUACAUUGUUAAGGUACAGAACAACGCAUUUGCUAUUAUUUGUGGGCAAAACAAUAUACAAGAAAACAAAACACACAUUCUUUUUUUAUAUAUGCAUACAAUAUCUCUAGGAGGAUAAAGUUCAAAUACUGGCUGUGACAGGGUAUUUGAGACAUCAGGGUGGGAGGGAGACGCUCCACCAUAUACUCUGCAGCCUUGCUAUGUUGACCAUGUGAAUCUUCAGUACUUAUGCAAAAAAUUAAUUUAAAUUAAAAAAUACUUAAUGUCAGCUAGGUGCAGUGGCUCAUGCCUAUAAUCCCAGCACUUGGGGAGGCCGAGGUGGGUGGAUCAUCUGAGGUCAGGAGUUCCAGACCAGCCUGGCCUACAUGGUGAAACCCCGUCUCUACUAAAAAUACAAAAAGUAGCUGGGCGUGGUGGUGGGCACCUGUAAUCCCAGCUACUUGGGAGGCUGAGGCAGGAGAAUCGCUUGAACCCGGGAGGCGGAGGUUGCAGUGAACAGAGAUGGCGCCACUGCACUCCAGGCUGGGCGACAGAGUGAAACUCCGUCUCAAAAAAUAAAUAAAAUAAAUAAAUACUUAAGUUUCAAACUAUUGGGUACUAUGCUCACUAACCGGGUGACAGUUCAAUCGUACUCCAAACCUCAGCAUCACACAAUAUACCCAUGUAACCUGCACAUGUACUCCCUGAACCUAAAUAAAAGCUAAAAUUAUUAAAGACAAAAUACUUAAUGGGUAAUUUUUUCUUCUAAAUAAAACUAUUAACUCUUCUUGAUGAGAAAUGGCUUCCUAGUUCUACACUUGGAACACAAUAUUGUUUUAUUAAAUAUACAUACUAACUUGAUUUUAUGCACUCCCUAAUCAUGUAACAGCUUGCCAGCAUGCCCAGCUAAUUUUUUAAAAAUUUUUCUGUAAAGAUGGGGGUCUCACUAUGUUGCACAGGCAGGUCCCAAACUCCUGGCCUGAAGCGAUCCUCCUCCUUUGGCCACCCAAAGUGCUGGAAUUAUAGGUGUGAGCCACUGUGCCAAGCCAAAUGUACUAUAUUCUUGCAACAAAGCUGCUCCAGAACAAGAGGUCCAUGAAAGAACUUAUGAUUACUUCAAAGCAAUUAGAUUUGUUUGAGUAGUACCAUGGAACACAAGCAAAGGAAACUAGGCAAAGGUAGAUUUCACAUUUCACAUUUAGAAAGUAAUCUUUCCUAAUUUUUAAAAGAUUGUAAUGGAGAGGUGAUGAAGAAACAUCUAUUACGGGACUGGAUUUCAUAGUCCAAAUCUAAGAAAUGAAGACACAGUAACACUAUAUAAAAUAUUAUAUGCAAUACAGUUAACUUCACUUGGGGCUUGUUUAAAAAUUGACAGAAUUAUGGCCGGGUGCGGUGGCUCAUGCCUGUAAUCCCAGCACUUUGGGAAGCCAAGGCAGGUGGAUGACAAGGUCAGGAGUUCAAGAUGAGCCUAACCAAUAUGGUGAAGCCCCGUCUCUAAUAAAAAUACAAAAAUUAGCCGGGCAUGGUGGCACACACCUAUAGUCCCAGCUACUCAGGAGGCUGAGGUAGGAGAAUCACUUGAACCUGGGAGGCGGAGGUUGCAGUGAGCCAAGAUCGUGCCAUUGCACUCCAGUCUGGGCGACAGAGCGAGACUCCAUCUCAAAAAAAUUAAAAAAAAAUUUGACAGAAUUGACAGUAGUUUGCUUAUUUUUUCCCUCCUUUCCUUCUGUUGAUACUAAUAUUUAAUUUAAAAGUAUAUUAAUAGCACUAUCACCUCACCUCUUGCAGAGUUUUCUAUGCAUAUGUUAUAACCAUACAUUGCAUACACUAACCUUCUUUGAAAUCUGCAGGUAACUUGAGAAGCUUCUAUGAAGCCAAAACCUAACUAGUAACCAUAAAUACAGGAAAGAUUAUUUCUGAAAACCAAAUGCUGGAAUCAUUCCUCAACUACGGUGAUAUAACAUGGUAGUGUGCCAAAAGGAGCUAGAUGAUGUAUAUUUCGGAUUAUGAAAUAAAAUGCUGUUCAUCCACUGAAGGACAGACCCUUGCUUCCUGGACUAUCUUCAAAAGCUUAGGUCGGAGGAGCUUUGGAUGAGGGGCACUGGAUAGCUGGGGAAGACGCAAGAGGGAGAAUUGCUUCGCAACCCUUUGGCUAUUGCCACUCCAGUUCCUAGCUUAAAACUCUCGGGACAUUUCCAGUAUAGAGCCUGCUGAGAAUGAAGACAAAAUCAAGGACAUUACCUGAUGACGGAUUAUGUAGAUGGCG